rnacentral:rRNA from 1 species
CAUUUUGGGGAAGUAAAAGUCGUAACAAGGUUUCCGUAGGUGAACCUGCGGAAGGAUCAUUAAUGAAUUCACUAUGGAGUUGUUGCUGGCCUCUAGGGGCAUGUGCACGCUUCACUAGUCUUUCAACCACCUGUGAACUUUUGAUAGAUCUGUGAAGUCGUCCUUCAAGUCGUCAGACUUGGUUUGCUGGGAUUUAAACGUCUCGGUGUGACAACGCAGUCUAUUUACUUAACACACCCCAAAUGUAUGUCUACGAAUGUCAUUUAAUGGGCCUUGUGCCUAUAAACCAUAAUACAACUUUCAACAACGGAUCUCUUGGCUCUCGCAUCGAUGAAGAACGCAGCGAAAUGCGAUAAGUAAUGUGAAUUGCAGAAUUCAGUGAAUCAUCGAAUCUUUGAACGCACCUUGCGCCCCUUGGUAUUCCGAGGGGCAUGCCUGUUUGAGUGUCAUUAAAUUCUCAAACUCACAUUUAUUUGUGAUGUUUGGAUUGUUGGGGGUUGCUGGCUGUAACAAGUCGGCUCCUCUUAAAUGCAUUAGCAGGACUUCUCAUUGCCUCUGCGCAUGAUGUGAUAAUUAUCACUCAUCAAUAGCACGCAUGAAUAGAGUCCAGCUCUCUAAUCGUCCGCAAGGACAAUUUGACAAUUUGACCUCAAAUCAGGUAGGACUACCCGCUGAACUUAA